GUGAAUCAUCGAAUCUUUGAACGCAAAUUGCACUCCUUGGUAUUCCGUGGAGUAUGCCUGUUUGAGGGUCGUUAGUAGAUAAAUGGAAGCAUCGCUCUUUUUUUUGAGGGUGAUCGCGUCGGAAUUGAGCCGCCUUUCAAAUGUUAAUUCAUGUCAAAGUGGCUUAAAAUUCAGCCAUAUGGUACGAUUAAAGCGUAUUUAAGAUCAAUGUUGAUUAAGAACGCGCGAGGAACGUACCAUCUCAUGUAGUACGAUUGACUUGACGUAGUCAGGUUCAUUCGUAUACGAUACUCAAACUUUU
rnacentral:misc_RNA from 1 species